GAUGAACGCUGGCGGCGUGCCUAAUACAUGCAAGUCGAGCGAACAGACGAGGAGCUUGCUCCUCUGACGUUAGCGGCGGACGGGUGAGUAACACGUGGAUAACCUACCUAUAAGACUGGGAUAACUUCGGGAAACCGGAGCUAAUAACGGAUAAUAUAUUCAACCGCAUGGAUCAAUAGUGAAAGACGGUUUUGCUGUCACUUAUAGAUGGAUCCGCGCCGCAUUAGCUAGUUGGUAAGGUAACGGCUUACCAAGGCAACGAUGCGUAGCCGACCUGAGAGGAUGAUCGGCCACACUGGAACUGAGACACGGUCCAGACUCCUACGGGAGGCAGCAGUAGGGAAUCUUCCGCAAUGGGCGAAAGCCUGACGGAGCAACGCCGCGUGAGUGAUGAAGGUCUUCGGAUCGUAAAACUCUGUUAUUAGGGAAGAACAAAUGUGUAAGUAACUAUGCACGUCUUGACGGUACCUAAUCAGAAAGCCACGGCUAACUACGUG
rnacentral:rRNA from 1 species